rnacentral:rRNA from 1 species
AGUGAACGCUGGCGGUAGACCUAACACAUGCAAGUCGAACGGCAGCACAGUAAGAGCUUGCUCUUACGGGUGGCGAGUGGCGGACGGGUGAGGAAUACAUCGGAAUCUACUUUUUCGUGGGGGAUAACGUAGGGAAACUUACGCUAAUACCGCAUACUACCUACGGGUGAAAGCAGGGGAUCUUCGGACCUUGCGCGAUUGAAUGAGCCGAUGUCGGAUUAGCUAGUUGGCGGGGUAAAGGCCCACCAAGGCGACGAUCCGUAGCUGGUCUGAGAGGAUGAUCAGCCACACUGGAACUGAGACACGGUCCAGACUCCUACGGGAGGCAGCAGUGGGGAAUAUUGGACAAUGGGCGCAAGCCUGAUCCAGCCAUACCGCGUGGGUGAAGAAGGCCUUCGGGUUGUAAAGCCCUUUUGUUGGGAAAGAAAAGCAGCAGGUUAAUACCCCGCUGUUCUGACGUUACCCAAAGAAUAAGCACCGGCUAACUUCGUG